rnacentral:lncRNA from 1 species
UAUUAAAGAAGUUGCACCAUUUGCAACCUUGGUACAGAUGAUUUCAAUAGUUUGCACUUUAACGGGUUGUGUUUGAUUAUUGGUAAGAACUUGGCCUUAAAAUUUCUGCAGAUUCUACGUCGAAGUUUAUCAUAUUUUAUUAUGAGAACAUUAGAUUGACAUUACAAUUAUUGUGCAUGGUGAUAUUGGUUAAUAUGCAUCUCACUUUGCACAUUGUACUAAAGCAAUACUUCCAAAUUUAAGCACUUCACCGUCAAUCUUUCCAUACUUGCAUGGUAAUUAAUACCGACCAUGUAACAUUUGGCAGUCUAUUAAGUUUCUUCAAAAGGUGGUAAUAACAUUUUUGUCCUGUUACUAUAUUGCAGUGUGAGAAAGCAGUCAAAAGUGUGGCCCUUAAAUUUAAAGAGAGGCGAUGACAGGUGGACUACAUACCUGGGUUCUAUAAUAGGAUUUAAAAUGGUUAAAGAGUCCAGAUAAAUAUUUUGGGUAUAUUGUUUUUUCCCUUUGGUUUCUUAUUUCCGCUGUCCGCAUUUUUAUGUAUUCUUAAUAUAAAGAAGUAAAGAUC